GUAAAAAUACAUAUUUUUUCUCAACUUAAAAUUUUGAGAAACUACUUACUACUGGAAAUUCCAAGCCAAUCGCACAUUUUGUUCAAAAAUUUCCAAAAGUUUGCCUCUGUGCAUUACUCCAGCAAAGCAGUUGAAAUAAGGUGUUCGAAUCCGGUUCCGUCGAGGUCGUAGCUGUAGUUCGCGGUAAAGUUUGAGGUCGUUGGUCGAGUUCCGGUCCGACGGCCGAUUCAAAACCGUUUGGGAUUUAAGGUCCAUCUCUUUUCCUACCUAUUUAUCUCUUAUGUGAGUUUAUUAUUGGCCUAUAUUUAUACUUUCAAGUUAUUGGUAGAAUCAAAAUGUUUGAAAAAUCAAUAACCUGAUCCAAUUGAAGCUAGCGUUUUCUCUUUCUUUCUUUUUUUUUGUUUUUGUUAGUUUGUUUUUCAUUAGGCUUGAUUGAAGCUUUAAUAAAGCCUCAGUUUUUGUUCAUAUGCUGGUUUGUUGCAACUGUUAUAAAAGUGGUUUGAGCAAAUCUCAUUCGACUAGUGUGGGGAAUUUCAGCAUGAGGAAAUGAGAAGAUAAAUUCCAUGCUUGCAUUGAAACAACAUUUACAUUAAUCCUAUAUUCAAGGCAAUAGCUUGGAUUCAUACUAUGUUCUAUUCAUCACAUUUUUUGUGCUUUACACAAAUUUAAUUAUACAAUAUUAUUUUAUUUAGAUCUCCUACAUAUGUGAUGCCUUAUUUGGCAUGAUUUAGUAAAUACUUCGAUGUUUAACUGAUGAUUGAAUGAAUUUUGUCUUAGUAACCAUGUAUAGUUUGGUUUUCUUAAAUUUAAUAGUUAGUCUGUCACUAUUUGAGCAUAUUUCGCUGAUUAACAAAAGCAAUGACGUAUUCUUCAUUUUAUUGCAUUUGUCUUUACUUGGAAUUGGGCGGAUGUAAUAUAAACUAUUUACAAAUUAGCUUGCGCUGAAAUUAAUCAUGAAAUCCUUUUAGCAAAAGUGUUCCGUAAUCACAAGCCUUUCACGCAUAAUCUCAAAGUAGUUUCGUAAAAUAAUUCAUAAACCUUGUAGAAAAUGCUUUGGACGCUUUUUUAAAUUUAUUAUCGUGAUUAUGUAUACGUUCGCGUAACAUAAUUAUUAUUUUCUUCUAAAAGUAACUCGAGGUAUGCGUUCGCACAACUUCAGCCAAACUUUCUUAAUAAUAACUAAGCGUUUUUAAUUGUGGACACGUUCGCGUGACAUGAUUUUUGACGCGCCAUACAAAUGGGUACACGUACGCGUGACCUGUUUUAAGAUAAUUUCUUAACUAAAAGAGGCAAAUGCCCAUAGGUUCUAAAAUAAGUAAUUAGACAAUUUGAUUAAGCCAAGUAUGAUCAAAGUGACCGUGCUAGAACCAUAGAACUCGGGAAUGCCUAACACCUUCUCCCGGGUUAACAGAAUUCCUUACUCGGAUUUCUGUGUUCGCAUACUGUAAAUAGAGUCAGCUUUCCUCGAUUUGGGAUUUUAAAUCGGUGACUUGGGACACCAUAAUUGGAAAAACUCCCUUAUACCCCUUCUGGGGGUGUAGGUAAAAAGGAGGUGUGACAAUUUGUACUAAGUUUCAAUUAUCGUACAAAUAGCCACAUUUUGUAUUUUUAGGAUGCAAUUGCAAUUACUUUGCAAUUAUAGCCUAUGCAUGCAUUAUUAAAUUAUUAUAUCGAAAAAUAGCUUUUUAUAUUUUUAAAAUAUUUAAUAAUUAUUUUAAAAUAUUUCCAGGCAUAAAAAUUAUUUUUUACAACAUAUUAAUUAUUUUUAAAAUUAUUUUAUCAAUUAAAUAUGGUAUUUAACAAAUGGCCCCCUUAUUUUCAAAUUUAGCCUAAAUACAUAGCCCAAUAUUAACCCCAAUUUCAUAUUAGACCAGGUUAAGAAUCUAGCCAGACCAAACCCAGCAUCUACCCGACACAUUUCUUACUAAAUCAUGGUAGUUGAUCAUUUUGAUAACCGAUUCAGAUCCCCCUUACCUAAAUUAAACCUAAUGACUUCCCCCAAGCCUCUCAUUUCCCACUCCUCUCACGCCGACAUCUGAUCCCCUCUUCUCUCAAAUGCUCUUAAGUCCUAAGCCUAACUCACCCUCAUCGUCGUUCAUCUACUGCCAUUCAUGGUGGUUCCGUAUCACCAUCAGACCUCUAAUGGCCUCUCUAUGUUGGUAUUGCCAUCACUAUGGUCCUCGAGGGACCAGGGUCAGUCCACUUACACCUAUGGCCCUUUCUUGCCUGUUUUAGGCUGUUCAUGUUUGAUUUCGAGUAAGAUCUUCCUAUUUUGCUUUAAACCUAUGGAUUUCUAAGCCUACUUCUUCAUCUCUGUGUUGUUCUUCUCGAAACCCUAAUUUCUUCCUUUGAACUUCUUAGAUCUGUAUAGAUCUAAGAUGGUUUGGUCUUAUUUCACCGGUUUUUAUGAAAAUCUUCUAGUUUUACGAGUGGCUUUCCAUUUUUUCUCAAACUAGGGUUUCCUGAAAAACCUUUUCUUCAAAUCGUUUUGCUGACUUUAAGUAUUUUAAUCUUCUAUUUAUGUUUUUUAUGUUUUUGCUUCAAUUCUGAGUCUUUCUGUGCUACUUGUUACAUUGUUCGUUCUGUACUUUGACUUUCACGAUUUGCCCUUUAGUCUAAAUUCAAUGUCUUGUGAUUUUUACCCUAGUUCAUCUCUAUUAAGGUUUUUGAUUUGGUUUCUCGGCUAAUUUCUAUAUGUUUGUCAGAUUCUAUAUUAGCCUACUUGUCUAUUUGUGGUAAACUUUAUAUUUCUCUCCUUAAAUCAAUGAUUGAUUUGAAUUCUUGAUUUAUCAAUUUGUUUAGUUAAGACUUAUGUGUUGAGUCCUGACUAUUCCUUUCUUGCCUUAUUUGAAUUGUGUGCGAUACUUGCUGAUUCUUUACAUGAUUCUCUCCUUAAUUAAGCCCUUAACUAUUUUAUUUUGAAGUUCUUUAAUUUUGGUUUGAUUUGAACCCCUUUCCUUAAUAAGGCCUCUGAUUCUUACUUCCUUACUCAAUCUGAUUGAAUCUCUUGGCUAAUUUUCCAUAAUUAAAGGAGAAAACUAUGUUGAAUCUUUGUGUGAUUUAUUCCAAAAUUCCGCAAUUGUUGAUUAUUGAUUACUUUACCUUAUUUGCUCUACUCUUGAACUGCUAUAUAAACUCUUUUUUUUUUAAACUUCUGACACACAAACAUUACUUGAGAAAACCACUACCUAUAUAAUCUGAAAAGCUCUUUCUUCUCUCUCUGCUACUUGUGAUAUUUGUUAGUCUAGCCUGCUACAAGCCAAGGCUUGAAAUUGUGCAACACCUAUCUUACAUCUUGUGUUUUCUUUCUCUAACUGGUAUUCUUCUGAUUAAAUUUUAGAACCCAAACCUAUGUGUUUAUUUACUACCUUAGUUCAUCAAUCCUGAGUUAUUCCUGCAUCUGUUUACUACUUACCUAUCAUGCCAAAUACUGCCUUAUUCAAAUAUGUAAUUAGCAUGUCUCCACUUUACUUGUCUGUUCACUAUCUUGUUUAAGCAUGUCUUACUUGUGUAAAUAGCCUGUUUGACUUACUACUGUCCAUCUAGCAUGCCUAAACUUUACUUUUGUGUAAUUAGCAUUCCUACACUUAUUAAUACUUUCCUAACAUGUUCAUUUAAGUCCUUGUCUGUUCUACCUUACUCCUGCUAAGUUAGUUAAUCUCCUUAGAGUGACUCUAGUUGUGUUGUUUAUAUGUCCUCAACAUGUUUCUGCUGUGAUCUUUUCUUCAUGACCUGCAUUCUAUCUAACCUAUUAUUCUAUAGAACCCCUUUAGAAAUCUAUGCAUCCUAUUAUUUAUGUUCUCCAUGAAGGUGUAUUCUAUGUGUUCCCAACCCCUCUUUCCUUAUGUGGAAACUGUUUGUCAAAGUAUUUUCCAAAGCUGUUUGUUCUGUGGCUUGUGUUCUGAGUGCAAAUUGUUUUUCAUACUUUCUCAAACUAUUUUUAACACUAAAUUAGUACUGAUUUUCAGAAAAUCUUUUCCCUCUUAAGACCUUGUGCACGGUGAAAUCGGAGGAACCAAUUUCCUCGUCAUUAUGAUGACCCACAGACAUACUUCCCAAGGUUCGAGACUGGGGUCGAGUUCCAACUUCGAGGGCUGUCAAGGCUUGGCCUCAGGGCAAUGUAGACCAAUGGCUAUAUUGGAAAAGAGGGGAGUUCCCAAGAGGCACAACCAUAGUUAAUAAAGUCUGUCAGGUUAGACAUAUGCUAGUCUGAGCCCGCAUCAUGACACCAACUUAUUGUCCCAUCCCCUUUAUUGUCUUUGUAAUCAAUGCAUUUCGUACUAUAUUGGGAUUCCCCUCCUAUAUAAGCGGGGUUCUUAUCAUUUUGUAAGGGUCUGUUGCUCCAAUUGCUCUACACGAAAUAUACAAGAUCGUCAUACUUUCUCUCUAACCUAUUCUCUUGAUAUUAUUGCUUUCAUUUAUUAUCUUCAUA
rnacentral:lncRNA from 1 species